UCUUUAUCACCUGAAAUCGAGAGAGGCAAAGAAAUGGAGGCCGUUGUCCGAGACCUCUCUGUCUAAGAUCGAGGAAUUACCAGAGAAAUUGGUGGGAAAUAAUUCAAAUAUUAUACUUCUGAUGAGUAGAAAUUGAAUCAGAAGAAGGUGACGCUCAAGGUUUUGUGGGAGAUCUGAAAUGGAAGAAUUGAAGAAUGGGUUGUCGUAUCUGGAAGAUAUUGAUGAUGGAAUUAGGGUCCUGGUGGUUGCAAUCAGUUGAUAACAGGGAAAUGAAGAUUGGGUGUUCGAUUUUGGAGUGAUUGAUUGGCUUAUAUUGAAUCUGAGACAGGGGAAGCUCUGUCGUUGCCGUAAUUGUUGCUGCUGCCGAUUGAAUAAGUCAAGACUGAAUGGAGUUUGAGCAGGUUAGAUGAGAAGGGUUUGUUGGUGGUGCUGUUAAUUGGUUUGAAUCAAGAAUGGGUAUAUGAUUGAUGUGGAGAUGCUGUUGUUGAGAGGCAAAGCCACAGGUUAGGGCUUGUGGUGACUGACAUUGAAGAUUAUGAAGAAGAUGAAGCAGUGAAGAUGUUGAAAUUCAUGGGUUCGACUGAAAUUGAGAGGAGAGAUCGAAUUGAUGGGAUUCUGGUAAGAAGUGCUGCUUUGAGAGGCUACUGAAAACUGUUAGAUGAAUGUGUAGGAUGUUGCAGGUGAACUAUGUUUUGCAGCUGGUGAAGCUUAAGUAUUGAGCUUGAACUACAGGGAAGAAUGGAUGGUUUCGUGGGUGCUUGAUCGAAUGCAGAGAACUGUUGUUGCAGUUGGUCUGCUACUGGAGUUGGUGGUGAAGUUCAGAAGCUGAAGGCUAUUGCAGCUGCAGGAUUAUGGAACUCAAAGUGCAGUCGCUGGUGCAAUAGCAGAGAUGAGUCUGGAGCUAAUGGUUAAUGGGUUAUGAGGAUUUUCUUUGUAUUGAGAUGCUCUGAAGAAUGAUUGCAGAUGCAAUUUCCGGAGGUCGUUGUAGAGGCAAUAGGCAGUGGUUCGAGCCGAGAAUUGGCUGGGAUAGGUCAAGCUUGCUGUUGCUCAUGUUUCUGAUGGCUAAUUACGGUAGUGAUGAGUACCAAGGGUGAUGAGUUGAAUCUGAGAUGAUGAAGCUGGUGUUGGUGAUGUAUGGAACAGAAGUUGUGAAGCUGAGAUAGGAGUUGAAGUUGCUGCGCAGUGAAGUGUGGUUGAGUUCUAGAAAGUACAUGAAGGUCUGCAAGAUAGAUGGGUUUGAGACAAUUGAUGGGACUAAGUACAAGACAGGGUAGAUGGUUUGAAUUAGUUCAGGUGGUGGAUGAAGGUGAUGCCAUGGAGAUGGUGGUGCUCAAUUUAGGUGUGCAACUGGUGACGAGAAGAACAAAGAAGGAAGAUGGGUUCUGGUUUUUGGUUCAAUAACAGAUAGAAGAGGGGAUGAUGAAGAUGCUGUUACCAUGAAGACUAUCAAGGGAAUAAUGGGUUUAUGGCUAAUUGAGAAGAACUGAGCUGCUAUUGAUAGAAGUAUGAGAUGCAGCUGUUGUUGGUGGUAGUCUGAGAAGGAAAUUGAUUGAACUGAAAUUGGGGUAUGUGUUGCUGCUGCUGUCAAUAUCAGAAAUGGUGAUUAUCAUGGGUUCGAUUAUUGUAUGAAGAUGGUUUUGGUAGCUGUUGCCACUGACAACUGGUGCUAAUGGAAGAGCAGAGUGGAGGUUAUGUGAAUGGGUUUUAAUGUAACAGAUGGCCAAAGAGAUGGAGUUAUUGGUGCAGAGAUUGGAUGAAGUCAAGGAAGUAAAGGCUUGCAGCUGAAAUGGUGUAGGUGGUGACAGCUCAGGUUUGAGCUCAUCAAGGAGAUACUGGUGCUUGCUGUUAUGUGGAGCUGAAAAGAUGGAGUUGCAGCUGCAGUGCUAGAUGGCUUGUUGGUGGUAUAUGAAUUGCAGGGAAGAUCAGUUGUGCUAAGUGGGUCACUGCCUGGGGAAACUGAGACAAUGGGCGAAAGAGUUGCUGCAAGAGUUAUGCGUGUUUAGGCGCAGCAAAGAAACUGAGUUGUUGGUGAUAUACUGGCAGGGAAGUAUGGUUUGAGCUUCAAGGGUUGGAUGCAGUUAUGCAAUAUAGAAGUGGUGAAUGAUGCUGAAACUGCUCAUUAGAUGUAUGCUAGGAAUUUUACAAGCAAGAAUUUGAAAGGCCUGGAAUCUGCUAGGAGAUGAUCAGAAAUAGACAGAACUCGGACGGGAUCGGACUUGGACGAGUUCACUCAGCGAUACAGACGAGCUAACCAGGUAAAGGCGCUGUUAAGAAGACUGUUAAAGAUGACGACGACUCAUGAAGACCGUUAGUUUGACUCAGGUCACCGGCGAAGCAUAUUCCAGUGACUAGAUAGAAUAUUCCGUUAAACUUCCGGUCUGUGACACCAGACUUCAGGCGACCAAUUCUGGCAGAGAAUUUCACAUGGGUUUUAAUGCACUAUGGGCUUGAUGGACCACUUGGAGAUGGGUUUUGAGAAGACCUAAUAUUGGAAGUGAAAACUACAGCCACACCCAUUUUCUCACCUUCCACCACUGUCAAACCCACGCGUGUAAAAGUUCACACGCGCACCCAAAAUCGGCGUAUAAAUUCUGCCGAAACCCAAAAUUUUCAAAAUUCAGUUUUCUUUUUAUUUUAUUUCCAAGUUUAACCUCACUUUAUGUUUUGAGAUUUUGUAUUGAGAUUUUGUUCUGAGAGAUUGAUAUAGAGCCGGAGCGAGAGCUGAAGUAUUGAAUUAUCGAGAGUUGCGAAGGAGCUGAUUGAGAGAUUCAAUUUACUCAGCAAAGAUAAUCUGAAAUUCAAGCUCAGGAUAGAGAUCAACAACUUUUUCCAUGUCCAUGAACUUGAAAGGUGAAGACUGGAGUCCUUGACUAGCAGUUUGCUCUUGGCUAUCAAGUCUGGUAACUUCUGGAAAUGCUUCUUGAGUAGGUGGUUCAGUUGAAGAUACUACUUCAACAUGUGUCUGAUUCCUUGGAAAAUUUUCACAAAGUGGGACAAUAGUAUCAGCUAAUGAUGGAUUUAAGCUAGGGCCACCUGACGACUCUUCCUGCACCUCAUUUAUGCCUGAAUCAAUGAGCAAAAUCUUCACAUAUUCGUACAUCUGAGAAUUGAAGUCUCCUCCAGUCCGUCUAUAUGUCUCCUGAGUUUUUUUCAUGUCUUUCAACUUUGCUUGAAUAAUCUUAAACCUUGCUUCCAUACUAUUAGGACACUUCUCUUCUUCAAUGAUUUGUAACGCAUCUUGAAAUGCUUCUUCAUACUUGUCCAUGUUCUCUUCAAGAUUCAUUGCAACGAGUUCCAAUAUAGCUGA